UACGUAGGGUGCAAGCGUUGUCCGGAAUUAUUGGGCGUAAAGAGCUCGUAGGCGGUUUGUUGCGUCGGCUGUGAAAACCUGGGGCUCAACCCCGGGCCUGCAGCCGAUACGGGCAAGCUAGAAUUCGGUAGGGGAGACUGGAAUUCCUGGUGUAGCGGUGAAAUGCGCAGAUAUCAGGAGGAACACCGGUGGCGAAGGCGGGUCUCUGGGCCGGUAUUGACGCUGAGACGCGAAAGCGUGGGGAGCGAACAGG
rnacentral:rRNA from 1 species